AAGUCGUAACAAGGUCUCCGUUGGUGAACCAGCGGAGGGAUCAUUAAAGAGUUCUAAACAAACUCCCACAAACCAUCGCGAACCUUUUCCGUCAGCGUUGCUUCGGCGGGGGCCCUGGGGCCGCAGCCUCCCCUCACCCGGGGGGGGCGCCCGCCGGAGAUACGAAACUCUCCUGUAUCCACAGCGGCAUCUCUGAGUAUAGAAGCAAAUAAGUCAAAACUUUCAACAACGGAUCUCUUGGUUCUG
rnacentral:misc_RNA from 1 species